rnacentral:lncRNA from 1 species
GUAAAUAUGGAGAGCCAAAACAACGGCAAGGUGAGUGCAGUCGAUGGAGUGGGGAGCAAGAGGGAAGUGGCCACGCCAAGAAAAGUGAAUAGCUGUGACUUGAUUCUGAGGGUUUUGGCUCUGCUGCUGACACUUGUAGCUGCCAUAGUUCUCGGGGUGAAUAAGCAGACUAAGGUUGUUCCAAUUCAGAUCGCACCAACCUUGCCUCCUCUAAACAUUGAAGCCCAAGCUAGGUGGCAUUACUUGUCUGCCUUCGUGUAAGUCAUCUAUUCAUACACUUGCAAUGAUGUUUCUUUCAAUGAAAUGUUCAUGCACUUCAAAAAAAAAAAAAAAAAACAGUUGCAAUUCAAGUAAGGUUCCACAAAUGAUGGUCUGUACGUUAGAUAUUAAUGUAAUUAUUUAAAUUUAUAUUUUUAUUAAAAAUAUAUAUAAAUGUGUCUAUUUCACAUUGAAAUGAUUAUUUUACUUCUCAAAAUUAUAAUUUCUUUGUUCUCUUUUUUUUCUUUAUACCCAAUUUUAAUUAGCUUUACUAAGUUGUUUUAAUAAUUUUUUUUCCUUUUAACAAAAGAAAAGCGUAGAGAUUUCCCACCCAUUGGAACCACUUGAGUUAAUUAGUCGAAAUUACUUUCUUUCCAUACAAAAUUCUUUUAAGUACUUACCAAGGUCAACUGGGGGACCUGGAACUCAAGAACAUGGCCCCUUUAUUGAAAUCAUAAAUAUACAGAGGCGGAGCCUCCUUAAGGGAUGGGUCCUCCAAAAUUUUUUAAUGUUUUUUUAUAUUAUAUAAAAUUUUUAAAUUUUUUAAAAUUCUUUUAAUGAUUUUCAAAAUAAUUUUAUUUAAUAAUUAAUAUAAAUAAAAACUAAUAAAAUAAUUCUAUAUAUUU